CAAAGUGCCUCCCUUUAGAGUG
rnacentral:miRNA from 5 species